UCAUGUCCCGCGGGAGAGACCGGCAGCUUCGCCGGCGCCGAAGGCGCAACAUCGCCCGGAAUCGCUCAGGCAAAAGGACUGCGGGAACGAG
rnacentral:ncRNA from 2 species